UACACUCCUACGGGAGGCAGCAGUGGGGAAUUUUGGACAAUGGGCGAAAGCCUGAUCCAGCCAUGCCGCGUGCAGGAUGAAGGCCUUCGGGUUGUAAACUGCUUUUGUACGGAACGAAACGGCCUUUUCUAAUAAAGAGGGCUAAUGACGGUACCGUAAGAAUAAGCACCGGCUAACUACGUGCCAGCAGCCGCGGUAAUACGUAGGGUGCAAGCGUUAAUCGGAAUUACUGGGCGUAAAGCGUGCGCAGGCGGUUAUGUAAGACAGUUGUGAAAUCCCCGGGCUCAACCUGGGAACUGCAUCUGUGACUGCAUAGCUAGAGUACGGUAGAGGGGGAUGGAAUUCCGCGUGUAGCAGUGAAAUGCGUAGAUAUGCGGAGGAACACCGAUGGCGAAGGCAAUCCCCUGGACCUGUACUGACGCUCAUGCACGAAAGCGUGGGGAGCAAACAGGAUUAGAAACCCUUGUAGUCC
rnacentral:rRNA from 1 species